rnacentral:lncRNA from 10 species
GCCGCCUGCUCGAGGCUUGGACACGCCCGGGUCUUCUCUUGCCCCGCGCUGCGCCACCCGACCUGGGCCCUGGGAUGGGGCAGGGGCGGGGGGUGCUCGGCCCUGCCACACUGUGUGACCUUGGGAAGAUGCUUUUGCUGCUGCCAUUUCACAGACGGGAAAGCGACAACGGCCCGCCUGGACUUGAACACAGGCCCAAGGCCUUCUGACCACUUGCCCGCCUCUGCUGGUCUUGCUGUCUGUCCCCACGGCCUUCACUACUGUGUCCCUGGUGCCUAGAACAGAGCCUGGUACAUAGAAGGUGCUCGAUGAAUGGUGAGUGAAUAAAUGGAGGAGGCUGAGAAGAAGGAGAGGUUCCUCGUUAGCUGGGCUGUGUGACCUUAGGCAAAAUGGCUCCCCUCUCUGAACCAAAGCACUCGCCCACGUUCCCUUUCUGGAUUCUGAAGAGAUGCAGGGAGAUAUGGGGGAACUGAAGCUAAUUGGAGGAUUUGCUGUGUGUUCUUAGGCCAAACUUCCACCUUCUCUGAACCACAUUCCAAGCUCUUUGCAUGUAUUAACUCAUUUAAUCCUACUGAUAAUUUGUAGGAGGCAGGUCUUUUUUCUUCUUCUUUUUUCAUAUUUUUCAAUGUUUUGUAGAGAUGGAUAUGUCUCACUCUGUUGCUCAGGCUUUUCUCGAACGCCUGGCCUCAAGUGGCCCUCUUGCCUCAGCCUCCCAAAGUGCUGAGAUUACAGGUGUGAGCCGCUGCGCCAGGCCACAGUCUUAUCAUUAUCUCCACUUUAUAGAUGAGGAAACUGAGGCCCAGAAGAGCUAAGUGUGUCUGCUCCAGGUCACAUGAAAGGAUGAGAAGGAAUAAAAUCUUUCCAGUCUGACUUUCCCUCUUGGGUUUGUCAUAACAGGCCUGGCAAUCUUUUCCCUAUCCCAUUUUCAAGAGGAGAAAACUGAGGCGAUUUGCCAAGGGGAGAUCCACGUGGCUGCUUUGACAGAGAGUGUUCUGCAAAAGGGCUUAGAAAUCAGCCAGCAGGUGGGAAAAUAUGGCGGAGAGGUGAACCAUCAGAACAUGAAUGGGGGGGUGUCUCUAGUGGGCGUGGGGCAGGGGGAUGGCAGGGGGAUGGCCUUUCAUGCUGCCCUGUGCCUUCCAUGCUGUGGCUCUCCGGCCGUGUCUGGUGUCCCCUCUGGGCCUCAGUCCCUGGUAUAUAAAAUGAGGUGAUAAUAUUCUAUCUGGGAUUCUGGGCCUGCUGUUACCCCUCACUGCUGGCCUUCCCCGACACAUUAGAGUUAAUCAGAUGUCCCUUUCACCCCACAAAGCAGGCAGAUGGGGAAACUGAGGCCCGAAGAGGAUUAGAACUUCCUACUUCCCCCUCCAAAUCCCCCUUGUACCCUUGUGAAUGGGUACAAGAGCCAGACUUAAAAGCCAGAUUCCCUGAUUCCAAUGUUUGAGAUUUUCCCCAUCAUGCCUCCUCUCUGAGGCCUCAGUUUCCCCAUCUGCCAAGUGGGGCUGGCAGAGAUAGAUCCCCAAGGGCUGCCAGGCUCCGAGGUUCUGAGAUCCAGGAUUUUGGAGACGGGAGGUGCUCAGGACCGGUAGUGAAACUUGCCUGAGUAUAUACUGCCCCCAGGUGGCAGGUUCUGGGACUGCAGGAGCCAUUCACAUGCGUGAAGAUCCGCUGGGCGCCCUUGCUCUGGGAUCAGGAAAGGCCGGUGCCAUGGAUGUGAUAGAUGCACACAGGGCAUCAGCAGGCCGCCGAGAGGAACCAGAGUGUCCAACGAACAGAAAACAGUGCUCAACCUUCACAUUUAUCGAAUGUUCCUUGGCACAUGCUGUAAUUCUGGCCCUAAAGACACAUUCAUGGACAAGACAAGCAAUUCCUGUUCUCGUGGAGCUGAAAUUCUCCUGGGGGAAGACAAGCACUAAACAAGAUCAAUGAUUAAAGUAUAGAUUGUAUUAGAUUCUGGUCAGCACUAUGGAGGAAAAUACAGCAGGGGAGCAGAGCAGGAGUUCUGGGAGAUUUGAUUUUUUGUUUUCUGGGGUUUUUUGUUUGUUUGUUUUUUGAGACAGGGUCUCACUGCUGGAGUGCAGUGGCACGAUCUCUGCUCACUGCAGCCUCUGCUUCUUGGGCUCAGGUGAUCCUCCCACCUCAACCUCCCAAGUAGCUGGGACCACAGGGGCAUGCCACCACACCCAGCUGAUUUUUUAAUGUUUUGUAGAGAUCAGGUCUCAUUAUAUUGCCCAAGCUGGGGGAGUUGAUUUUAACUUUAUGUUAGAGUAGUCAGGGAAGACCUCACUGAGGUGACAUUUAAGCAAAAACCUGAAUGUGGUGAAGCAGGUAUCUGGGGGACCUUGGACCACACAAAGGGAACAGCAAGUGCAAAGGCCCUGAGGUAGGAGCACGUAGUUGUGGUGAUGACGGAGAGUAGCAGGAAUUUGUGUCAUAGAAAUAGUGGGGGCUGGCCAGGCACAGCGGCUCAUGCCUGCAAUCCUAGCACUUUGGGAGGCCGAGGUGGGUGGAUUACUUGAGGUCAGGAGUCUGAGACCAGCCUGGCCAACAUGGUGAAACCCCAUCUCUACUAAAAAUUAAAAAAAAAAAAAUGGCCAGGCAUGGUGGCGUGCAUCUGUAAUCCCAGCUAUUCAGGAGGCUGAGACAUGAGAAUCACUUGAACCCGGGAGGCGGAGGUUGCAGUGAGCCGAAAUUGUGCCUCUGCACUCCAACCUGGGUGACAAAGCAAGACUCUGCCUCCAAAAAAAAAAAAAUGGAACAUGGAAACAUGGAAUGGGAGAAAAUAUUUGCAAAUCAUAUAUCUGAUAAGGGGUUCAUAUCCAGAAUACAUAAAGAACUGUUACAACUCAACAGCAAUAAAAACAACUCAAUUAAAAAUGGGCAAAGGACUUGAAUAAACAUUUCUCCAGAGAAAACUGUGAAUGGCUAAUAAUCACAUGAUAAGAUACUCAACAUCACUAACCAUUAAGGAAAUACAAACCAAAACUGCAAUGAGGCGCAACACUUUGGUGGAUCACCUGAGGUCAAGAGUUGGAGACCAGCCUGGCCGACACGGUGAAACCCCGUCUCUACUAAAAAUACAAAAAUUAGCUGGGCGUGAUGGUACGUGCGUAUAGUCCCAGCUACUUGGGAGGCUGAGGCAGGAGAAUCACUUGAACCUGGGAGGUGGAGGUUGCAGCAAGCCAAGAUCACGCCACUGCACCCCAGCCUGGGCAACUGAGUGAGACUCCAUCUAAAAAACAAACAAAACGCAAUGAGAAGAGAGGAUUUUGAAUGUUCCCGACACAAAGAAAUGAUAAACGCUUGAGGUAAUGGAUAUCCUAAUUACCCAGAUUUGAUUAUUACACGUUGUAUACAUGUAUUGAAAUAUCAUUUUGUAACCCAUGAACAUGUACAAUUAUGUGUCAACUAAAAAUAAAAGGAAUAAAACACAAUGAGAUACCACCUUACGCCCAUUAGGCUGGCUGCUGCGUUGGGAAGGAUGUGUAGAAACUGGAAUGCUUGUGUAGCUACUGUGGGAAAUGGUAUGGCUGUUCCUCAAAAAAUUAAAAAUAGAAUUACCAAAUGACCCAGCAAUUUUAUUUCUGGGUGUGUAUCCAAACGAAUUGAAAGCAAGAUCUUGAAGAGAUAUUUGUACACUCACGUUCAUAGCAGCCUUCUUCACAAUAGCCAAAAGGUGGAAGCAAUUAGCUGGGUGUGGUGGCGGGUGCCUGUAAUCCCUGCUACUU